AAACCAUGGAGUUGUAUAUAUAACUGCUCCAAGUGCUACCCAUAGCAUAUCUUUGAUACUAAAACUCUGCUCUUCAAUUUCGUUAAUACUGCUACUACUGAAAUGGAUUCUAUUUUGACCUCCAAAAGUGGACACAGUGUAGCUUCGAUAAAAUUGCAAGGAAGUCUAGUUUUAUUUGUUGAUGGACAACAGCUAUCCUCGCAACUCUCAAAAUUACAAGUUGAUGACUCGGUGUUAUUUGAGCAGCAAGGCAAAAUAUUAUUGCUGGCGGCAGUGACAGGAACCCUCUCUCUGGCAUAGAAUAUAGCCUAGAUCUCUACGGCAUAGAUCCAACUCAGAAUACUCUAAAUUGGUUGGAUUCAAAACCACUACUUGCAGCUGCUACGUUAACUUCCUUCUACAGUGGGAAUGCAAUUACUGGAAAAACAAUAGCUGUGGUUAUGCAAGAAAACUAUUACUGCCCCACUGUUUAUACAGUACUUGGCUCCGAGUUGAGAUUCUUCUCUGAUCUUGCUACUCCAAAAGUGAACUGGGCUAUAUACAUCAGCAUACCCAAUGAGGCCUUCUCAGAAGUCAAAGAUCACUAUCUUCUGGUUGGCAAAGGUGAUUCUUCGAAGCUUCUGUACCUUGAAAUGCGUGGCUUAACACAUGAAGCCUUGGACCGCACAUGUCAUGUGGAUGAUUUCAAAUAUCCAGAAUUGAUACCGCGAGUGUAAUAAAAAUUUUAAAAAUUUUAUUAAAACAUUAAGUAUAA